rnacentral:rRNA from 1 species
AUACGUAGGGAGCGAGCGUUGUCCGGAAUUACUGGGCGUAAAGGGCGCGUAGGCGGGAUAUUAAGUCAGGUGUGAAACCGUAGGGCUUAACUUUACGAUUGCACAUGAAACUAAUAUUCUUGAGGACAGGAGAGGAAAGCGGAAUUCCUAGUGUAGCGGUGAAAUGCGUAGAUAUUAGGAGGAACACCAGUGGCGAAGGCGGCUUUCUGGACUGUAACUGACGCUGAGGCGCGAAAGCGUGGGUAGCGAACGGGAUUAGAUACCCCGGUAGUCCACGCCGUAAACGAUGGGUACUAGGUGUAGGAGGUAUCGACCCCUUCUGUGCCGGAGUUAACGCAAUAAGUACCCCGCCUGGGGAGUACGGCCGCAAGGUUGAA